rfam:Equus caballus chromosome 28, whole genome shotgun sequence.
GUCUAUGGCCGUACCACCCUGAACGUGCCCGAUCUCAUCUGAUCUCAGAAGGUAAGCAGGGUCGGGCCUGGUUAGCACUUGGAUGGGAGAAACUCAAGCAUUUUAAAUA